rnacentral:rRNA from 1 species
UACGUAGGGGGCAAGCGUUGUCCGGAUUUAUUGGGCGUAAAGCGCUCGCAGGUGGUUCGUCGCGUCGUGCGUGAAAGCCCCCGGCUCAACUGGGGAGGGUCGUGCGAUACGGGCGAACUGGAGGCCAGUAGGGGGAUGCGGAAUUCCGGGUGUAGUGGUGGAAUGCGUAGAGAUCCGGAGGAACACCAGCGGCGAAGGCGGCAUCCUGGACUGGUCCUGACACUCAGGAGCGAAAGCGUGGGGAGCGAUCCGG